rnacentral:rRNA from 1 species
GACGAACGCUGGCGGCGUGCUUAACACAUGCAAGUCGAACGAUGAAGCCGGAGCUUGCUCUGGUGAAUUAGUGGCGAACGGGUGAGUAACACGUGAGUAACCUGCCCUUGACUCUGGGAUAACUGCGGGAAACUGUAGCUAAUACCGGAUACGACCCUCGGGGGCAUCUCCUGGGGGUGGAAAGAAUUUCGGGCAAGGAUGGACCCGCAGGCCUAUCAGCUAGUUGGUGAGGUAAAGGCUCACCAAGGCGACGACGGGUAGCCGGCCUGAGAGGGUGACCGGCCACACUGGGACUGAGACACGGCCCAGACUCCUACGGGAGGCAGCAGUGGGGAAUAUUGCACAAUGGGCGCAAGCCUGAUGCAGCAACGCCGCGUGAGGGAUGACGGCCUUCGGGUUGUAAACCUCUUUUAGCAGGGAAGAAGCGAAAGUGACGGUACCUGCAGAAAAAGCACCGGCUAACUACGUGCCAGCCGCCGCCGUAA